GUGCUUGUUUUGCAGCACAUAUACUAAAAUUGGAACAAGACAAGAUUAACAUGGUCUCCGCAAGGAUGACAUGCAAAUUCAUGAUCAUUCCAUAUUAAA
rnacentral:snRNA from 1 species